GUCAUCUUUUAAAGUUAUUAUGACCCUAACAGUUUACCAACAAGGAAAACUGUGACUAAGUCAGAUUAAUUGAACUGGUUCUGCCAGUAAGCCCUAGGAGCUUGUUUAGCUAAUUAUGAUCAAAAGUGCUGAAGACUGUCCAUAAUGGAUGAUUCUGGAGACCAGCCUGUCCUCUUCCAAUUAAAAGUGCAACUUCCAGUUAAAAGUCUGCAUGUUUAUGCUCUGGGAAGCAAUGGCAGUUUUUGAGCUGGAAAGUUGCUUAAGACCUUACACAACUGAAAAGCAGAACUAGUGGCUUAUAAGCAGUGGAAAAACAAGACUGGCUAGGAAGAGCCUAAGGACCUUUUCAAUGAUUUUGGAUCUUUUGCCACAAUAUGCUUUCAGUUAUUUGAUCACCAAAAUGUACCUUUUUUUUCCAUUGAAGGAUUUGCAUAAACUAUCUGUUUGGCUGGCCCAACUACUUGGAGAGUUUGCAGUAUAAAAACAGCACAAAAGGGUGGAGCGUGUCCACACUGGGCAAGAGAUUGACAAGCCCAUUUGUCACACCCAGGGGUUUAAUACUGAUGCAAAAGCUGUUGGUGAAUCAUGGAAUUGAGGGACCCCUUUGGGGAAACUUGUGGACAUGUGAGAAUGGAAGACAAUCACCCUGUGACACCACACUGACUUCACACCAUGUGAACCACAGCAGAGGUGGCAAGCACAACCUUGUGAUGCUGGAUGCAUAACUGAGUUACCACCUGAGGAUGCGCAUCUCUUGGGAACAUCAUCUUUCACUGCCACACUUCCUCACACCAUGCAGCCAAUCAAAGUGUUUCUCCCAACAAACACAGAGCCCUCAACCUGAGAAGAAUUCUGAGUUGCAUUUCUUAUCUAUGUUUAUCGGCCAUGGUUGGAUUGAUAUUUGGUUUGCUAAUGGAAAUGACAAGAAAAGUAAAAAGAAAAGUGGGUUUUUCAUAAGUUGCCAGCACAAAAAAAGUAAGUAUGCAUUUCAGAAAGAAAUUAGUGAAGCGUUAGUGAAACAUGGGAUGUGUAGAUGGGGCUAAAAACCCAGAACCUAAAAAAAUCUUACCAGGAGAGGAGGCAGCAGGAAGUUCAUGUGAAGAUUCUACUCUUAUAGUUCAGAAAGUACACAGGACCAUCUAUAGAACACCCUGUUGAUUAUUCUCAAAGCCAGUAUCUAUGGUGUGGUCAACUCCUGGCAAACCUUGCUUUGAAAUUUAUUGCCCUUGCCUUCUAUUCCUGGGUGCUUGAUGGUAUAUGUCUCUAUUAAUGUUGUAUAGCUGUAUUUUUCCCUUCAUUUACAUUUCAUAACUUUAUGUUUACAUGUUAUGCAGAGAAAAAUCUUUGAAACUACUUUCCUUUUCAGGAUUAAAAAAAAUUAAAGAUGCAAACCCUUAAUAGCUCUAAGUAAGUUAAUUAUAACCUUGAGUUAGAUUACCCUGGUAAAAGACACAAUUAGGAAAUUGAACAGCUUUUCAGUUUCUCUAGUUGACUUUCCUACAGUAAUGUCAACUGAUGCUCGGUGAGGCAUAUCCACAAAGUCAGAAAGGAGGCACAGAGUUGGCUCAACACUCCAAGUAAGAAUAUAUGUGGUCAAGGGGCUGGACCUAAUAGCACCAAGAGUUAUGAGGCAGGAGUGGAAAUGCUAGUUAAUGACUGAGAUGAUGAGUUUGGGGUGGAAAAUUGUCAGGGAUUUCUGGGCCCUGAAGCACAUAGUAGCUGUACAGCAAGGAUUAUUUAGUCAUUUCUGCUGUUCCUUCUAGGAGCAUCCACCACCUGCCUGUUCCUGGUCUUGAUUGGAAUUCUUUCUGUUACAGCUGUCUAGGGAGGCUGGGAUGAAUGAGUAUGGAUACUGGGGUUCCAUUCUAGACUCACAUUUUCCUAUGGAAGGAGGUAAAGGAGAGCGCUAGCACACAGAUUCAUCUCUCUUUGCCUGCCAGCAACCGUGG
rnacentral:lncRNA from 1 species